GUAGUGGUGAUGGUGGUGGUGGUGGUGAUGAUGGUAGUGGUGAUGGUGGUGGUGGUGAUAUCAACAAAGCCGACUCCUUAACUUAUAAUAUACAAUAGAUCUUGCAAUUUCCAACACUUGAGAGAGAGAGAGAGAGAGAGAGAGAGAAAGGGAUUAUACUUACCCUACCUAUCAGCUUACCAUAACCUUAGUGUCUCUCUCUCUCUCUCUCUCUCUCUCUCUCUCUGGUUAUUGUUGUUGUUUUUGUUAUGCUUUCAAAUCAACCACUGGAACGAGAGUCAUCCAUACACACACACACACACACACACACACACACACACACACACACACACGAUGACAAAAAAAUUAUCCACAUCCUGACACAGACUGCAUCAUACCUCCACCCCAUGACACACACACACACACACACACACACACCAGUAAUUUCUCAACACUAAAUCAUACAAAAUCUCAACUAAGCACAAAUCAACAUAAUUCUCUUCCUACUCUAUGUUAACCUCAUCAAACAAAGGAUCUCAUUCAAAGAUCCUUCCGCCCCUCACAUCAACAAUUUCCAAAAUCCAAAUAGUAGAUCAGUCAGGUCCUAGUGAGUGUUUUUUGUAGGUUCAUGGCACAGAGGGAGGGUCAAACUACCACCAGGGUCAUUAAACUACCCCUGGAAAUGCCCACAACUCUUACGAAAGCCUUGUCAACUAUGUGAUCUUGGGCGGCAGAAUGGUUAAGAGUAUGACAUUUCUAAAGGCAAAAUACUGGGUUGGAUGCAUUUUUAUGAGUGUUUUUGUAGGUUCAUGACACAGAGAAAGGGUCACACUACCACCAGGGUCAUUAAACUAUCCCUGGAAAUGCCCACAACUCCUAUUAUGAAAGCCUUGUCAAAUAUGUGAUCUUGGGCGGCAAAAUGGUUAAGAUUAUGACAUUUCUAAAGGCAAAAUACUGGGUUAGAUACAUUUUUAUGAGUGUUUUUGUAGGUUCAUGGUACAGAGGAAGGGUUUAACUACCACCAGGGUCAUUAAACUAGCCCUGGAAAUGCCCACAACUCCUACGAAAUCCUUGUCAGAUAUGUGAUCUUGGGCAGCAAAAUGGUUAAGAUUAUGACAUUUCAAAAGGCAAAAUACUGGGUUGGAUGUGUUCUCAUGAGUGUUUCUGUAGGUCCAUGGUACAAAGGAAGGGUCAGACUACCACCAGAGUCAUUAAACUAUCCCUGGAAAUGCCCACAACUCCUACAAAAGCCUUGUCAACUAUGUGAUUUUGGGCGGCAAAAUGGUGAAGAAUAUGGAAUUUCUAGGGCAAAAUACUGGGUUAGAUGCAUUUUUAUGAGUGAAUUUGUAGGCUCAUGGUACAGAGGGAGGGUCACACUACCACCAGGGUCACUAAACUACCCCUGGAAAUGCCCCAAACUCCUACGAAAGUUUUGUCAAAUAUGUGAUCUUGGGCAGCAAAAUGGUGAAGAAUAUGGAAUUUCUAGGGCAAAAUACUGGGUUAGAUGCAUUUUUAUGAGUGAAUUUGUAAGUUCAUGGUACAGAGGGAGGGUCACACCACCACCAGGGUCAUUAAACUACCCCUGGAAAUGCCCCAAACUCCUAGGAAAGCUUUGUCAAAUAUGUGAUCUUGGGCGGCAAAAUGGUUAAGAUUAUGACAUUUCUAAAGGCAAAGUACUGGGUUAGAUACAUUUUUAUGAGUGUUUUUGUAGGUUCAUGGUACAGAGGAAGGGUUUAACUACCACCAGGGUCAUUAAACUACCCCUGGAAACGCCCCAAACUCCUACGAAAGCUUUGUCAAAUAUGUGAUCUUGGGCGGCAAAAUGUUUAAUGAUACAACCCUAAGAAUUUUUCAUCACCAUACUGCUACAACAUGGUGAGGCAAGAUUACACUAUGCUUACACCCCCUGUCCCCAAUGAUAACACACGCACACACACACUCGCACUUACUCACUCAUAUACGCUUGAGAUAAGGCCAGCUCUUAAUUAUGAGUCACCAAGGAAAAGCCACAGCGCACUUAUCAUCAUUACCCCAAUUAUCAAACUUCCCGACGCAGCGACAUUCCCCUCCUCGCCUAUCAUGGCUCAAGCAGGCACAGGAAUAACAAUGUUUACACUCCAGGUGGAUUUUAUUUCUUCCUUUUAAUGAUUAUGACUAACACAAGUGAUCUAAUUUACUCUCUCUCUCUCUGGUUCUAGUUGUUGUUGUUGCUUUCUUUUUACUGUUUGCAGACUUCUUUUUUCUCCCCUUCUCCUAUUAUGGCUGCUGCAAGUAAUGUGAUAUAUUCUUCUGCUAUGUAUUCCGUUCUGGCAUAAUAAUAUACAUACAUACUUAAAUACUUACAGACACUUCAGGUUAAAAUGCAGUGCCUAAUUCUGUCAUACUAUAUUCAUACUAUAUCUAUAUGGUACUAUUCUCUAUGUCACUCUAAUAUAUUCUUUUGCUAUGUAUGUAAUUCUGAUAGACUUCUAUUUCUUCCAUCAACAACAACUAUGGAUGAAGCCAGCACUCAAUUGUUUCUUCAUAUCAUUCUCCUUUCUUGAUAAGCUAAUGUCCCUCUAUGUCAAUAAUCUUCUAUGUUAUCUCAUCCGCUUUCUACAUCUCUUACUGCUUCCACUUCCAUUUUCUUUUUCUCAGGGUCUCAGGUGCUUGGGGGCUGCUGGAUACCUAACUUAAUGUCCCUCUACUCAAACGAUCUUCUAUGUUAUCUCAUCCGCUUUCUACAUCUCUUACUGCUUCCACUUCCAUUUUCUUUUUCUCAGGGUCUCAGAUGCUUGCGGGUUGCUGGAUAGGUGGCUUAUAGUAUCUACACCCUUCCUCUCUAAAUGCUCCAUCUCUUACUAAUACUAAUAUCAAUUUCCUGCUUUGGGUGUCGAGACCAGUGUUGUGAAAGAGGCAGAACAAAGAGGGUAUCACAUCCAGGUGGGAAAUAGUAUAUGCUGUUAUCUGCCGUGUCCUGAUAAUUUGAGAUAAUCCACGCAACUGCCUAUAGUGUUAUCACCGGCGCUGGGAACUGACACACACACACACACACACACACACACACACACACACGCACAUACAAACUCCUGCCUCAUCAAAUCUCCUCUCUUCUCCAACAAAACUAAUAAACUCAACAGCCUAGCAAGGAAGGAAAAGAGCUCAAAGGUUGACAGAGAUGAGAACCAAGACCCCGUGUAGCGAUACCAUAUGCCCCCAACUUUACCUUAGGGGGGGGGUUGGUUGCCUUAAAAUUAAAACUUAUUCUUGAGACAAAUAAAUAAGAGUUAGGAUUUUGCUUUAAGUUAGGGGAUGUUAAUGGAGAGAGGAACAAUGGUUUAAUGGAAGAGGCACUGAAAGAAAAUUGGGUUAGGGUUGCUCUAAAAUUAAGGGAAACGGGGUCAGGGUUGUUAAGGGGCGGAGAUAACUAGCUGGUAAAGGAAUUGAGUACCCUAUGCAACGAAGGAAUGAUGGGAAUAGAAAAAAUGAUAUCAGCUCAACCACAUAGCAAGGAGAGAUGAGAGAGAGAGGAAAGGUAUUGAAGAGAGUGCCAGAACAGAGAUGACUGGAUGGAGACUUACUCUUCCAUUCUCUCCCCCUCUCUCGCUCUCUCUCCUUCCUUGCUUACUCCCUCAAGCACUUACAUUCUCUCCCUCUCUCCUCCUCCUCUUCACUUCUUCCUUCCUCCCUAAAGCACUUCCAUAUUCCUUCAUCUUUCUCUCAUUCUCCUCUCCUUCACUCCAUUCCUUCCUUCCUAUACCUAUCCUCUUCCUUCCCCUCUUAAGAAGCUCAGGACGGGAGAGGAAGUCAUGGGAGAUAUAUAGAGUGAUAGAGUGAGGAAAUACAAGAAACAACAACAAUGCCGCAGGAAGAGGACUAUGACUGGGUGUUGACAUAAGGUGGGAGAAGGUCACGAGAGAUACAGAAUGAGAGAGUGACUAGGAAGAACAAUAACAAGGGCAUAAGAAGAGAACAAUGCCUGGGUGUUUACUUAUGAUGGAAAACGCAGCACACAAAACUAUAUAUAAUGACAGACUGAAGAGGCGACAAACAGGUGUUUCCAAGAGGUGAAGAAAUAUGAACACACAAUAUCUAUGGCACAAGAAAAGGAGGAAAACUGGGUGCUUACUAGUGGUGAUAGAGAACAACAAACAAACCUAUAUAAUGACAGGCUGAAGACAUUACAAACAGGUAUUUCCAAGAGGUGAAGGAAUAGGAAAACACAAUAUCUAUGACACAAGAAGAGGAGGGCAACUAGGUGCUUACUAAUGGUGAAAGAGCACAGCAAACAAACAACAGCCUGAGGAAAGCUUGCAUAAGAAACAGGUGUAGAAACAAAGACAAGUAAACAAUGACUAUAUUUCUAAUGGGUGACGGAGAGAGAGAAAUCAUAAUAUCACACCACCAAUAGGGGUCAACGAGCCUCAGUCAACACCAGGAAUAAACAAAACUAAUAAAAGAUUAACGAUAACCUUCCUUUUGUUUCUAUAGUCCCUCGCUCUCCCCUUCCCUUCUCUCUCUCCUCUCCCCAUCCUUCCCCCUAUCUCUCUCCUGCUGUAACAUCCCCACACGAUAGAAAAUAUAGUACAGGUGAAAUGUAAUAUACCUUGUAGUAGAAAUACCUGUCGAAAUGAAGAUGGGAGAACCAGGUGUUAACGAGUGAGUAUACAUUUCUGCCAGGUGACGGAGAGAAAGCAUAACACGCCAGCGAUAAGGGACAAUAAGCCUCAAUCAACACCAGGAACAGACAAAACUAACAGCCUGAGGAAACCUUGUACCAGAAACAGCUGUCGAAUCAAAGGUGUGUAAGCGAGUAUAUUUCUAACAGGUGACGGAGUGAGAGAAAUCAUAAUACCACACCACCGAUAAGGGACAAUAAGCCUCAAUCAACGACAGCAACAGGCAAACCAGUCAUAGCUAGUCAUGCGGCGAGUGGGUGGUGGUGCACUGUAGCCUUGUGAUCGCUGAGCUGCAACUGGGCCGAACACUGAGGGAAUAAAUCACAGCUCGACCAUGUAGGUACUGACGUCAAUAUGGGUUUUCGCUAUAGUUUUUGACAUUAUUUUUGGUAGUGUAUUUUUAGCUUAUCCAGUGGUGUGUGUUGCUUCAUUCUUUCUUUCUUGCUUGCUUGCUUUUGUCCUUGUUGCAUCAGUCUGUCUUUUUGUAUAGUUUUUUGUUUUGUUCUAUUAAUAUUUUCAUUUUUCUUUCAUUUUUUUUUAUAUCAUUCUUUGUAUCUAUUUUCAUCCUCUCCAGUGGUGUCUGUUUCUUUUUAUUUUCAUUCUUGUUACACUUGCAUCUACUCUUUUAAAGGCUUUUCUUUUCCAUCAAUAGGCAUGUAUGUUUUCAGUAGUUUAUUUUUUGCCAUCAUUUCUUGUGUAUAUAUUUUUUUUUCUAUCCAGUGCUCUGUUGUUGUUUUUUCAUUUUUCAUUUUUUUCCUUCCUGUGCCUGUCUUUCUAUAGCUUUCCAUCUUUCUUUCUGUCACCCACACUUCAUAUUUCUUUGCUCUCACUGUCAGGCUUUCGAUCAUUUUUUCCUUCCUCUCACCGCCUGUCUAUUCUUAAGCUUCUUUCAUCUUUUUUUUCUUACAUUCUACCACCCACACUCUCUACUUUUCUUCUUUGCUAUCAGUGUCAUGCUUUCUAACUUUAUUUUCCUUCCUCUCACUGCCUGUCAUUUUAGCUUUUCUUUCUCUUUUUUCCUUCCUUUCCCUCUUUUUCCUUCUUUAUUCCCCCAGUCACUGGUGUUAACUUUCCUCAAAUCACAUAAUGGAACCUUUUAACUUUUCUUUUCUUCUUCUUUCUUGUCAUUGGAGUUCCUUUUUCUCUAAUCGUAUAGUGGAACCUGUUAUCCUUCCUCCCUUCCUUUCACUGCCUAUAUCUUUUUCUUCUUUCUUUCUUCUUUUUCUUCCUCAGAACUCAUCAUUGUCUUCGAAGUUACUUUUUUCCCAAAUUGCACAAUGGAAACUUUUAUCUCUCCUCCCAUUCUUUCGCUGCCUAUCUUUUUAUCUUUCUUCUUUUCUUCUGCAAGUCUUAUUUUCAUCCUUAGAACUCAUGUUGUCCUCGGAGUUACUUUCUCUAUAAUCCUGCUAGUAAUGGGACCUAUCACACCACCUCUCCCUAACCCACUACCAAGCUGCCCAGAGCCACAAGGAAUACUGAACUCCUUACUUAUGACCACAGGGGGAAUUUAAGACAACAUAUGAGGUAUAAAACAAUAGAACGAAGGAAGGCCGAAGUGUUAUGCAUUGCUGCACGACUCACACACACAAGCCUAAACAAUCACGACCAAGGACACAAUUCUGAUUCACCACACAAUGUUACCAUGUUGAAAUUUAGUGCAGAUGUGAUGGAAAUGAGCGCCAAGGCCAUGCGUAGAGACAGCCUAUGCAUAUUGCUUAAUCUUUACCAUCUCCUUUUCUAUUAAAACCCUUCCUUCCGCUCUCUCUCAUCCUCAUCCUCCUCCCUUACUCCCUGAAGCAAUUACACAUUCUCUCUCUCUCUCUCUCUCUCUCUCUCCUUCCUUACUCCCUCAAGCACUUACAUUCUCUCCCUCUCUCCUCCACUUCACUUCUUCCUUACUCCCUCAAGCACUUCCAUAUUCCCUCCUUCUCUCUCUCUCAUUCUCCUCUCCUCCAUGCCCUUCCAUCCUUACUCUCCCUUCUUCCUUCCCCUCUCUCUCUCCCUCCACACACACACACAAGGAAGGGCUGAGCAGUACCUUUAUAAAUAGACACACACACACAGAGAAAGGUGAAGGGGCAGAAGGGGGAUGGGAAGGGAAGGGAGGCUGGGUAGGGUAAGCUUGACCCCGCCCCUCGAUCCUGUCCCUUCCUCCUCCUCCUCUUCCCUUGCCCUAAAAAUACUUGAAUCAUCCUUAUUUCUUCCUUUAUCUACUGUUUUUAUCUUAUUUCCACGUGUCCAGAAGAAGAAUAAGCCUUUGACACAUCCUUCAUCCACAUACGAAUGCAUAAGAACGAAGGAGAGAGGACGAGAUGGAGGAGGAGGAGGAAGUCGAGAAGAUAUGUAAACAAACUCUUAUUUCUUCAUUUCAAGGCGUUUUUUAUCUUAUUUCCACCUGUCCGUAAGAAUAAUUGUCCCUUGAUGCACCUUUCUUACAUACACGAGUAGUUAAAAACGAGAGAGAGAGAGAGAGAGAGAGAGAGAGAGAGAGAGAGAGAGAGAGAGAGAGAGAGA